rnacentral:tRNA from 1 species
GGGGCCAUAGCUCAGCUGGAAGAGCGCCGCCUUUGCAAGGCGGAGGUCGCCGGUUCGAGCCCGGCUGGCUCCA